rnacentral:rRNA from 1 species
AGAUUGAACGCUGGCGGCAUGCUUUACACAUGCAAGUCGAACGGCAGGCACGGGAGCAAUCCUGGUGGCGAGUGGCGAACGGGUGAGUAAUAUAUCGGAACGUGCCCAGUCGUGGGGGAUAACGCAGUGAAAGCUGUGCUAAUACCGCAUACGAUACUAGUGGAUGAAAGCGGGGGACUCGCAAGAGCCUCGCGCGAUUGGAGCGGCCGAUAUCAGACUUAGCUAGGUUGGGUAGGGUAAAACGCCCAACCGAAGGCGACGAUCUGUAGCUGGUCUGAGAGGACGACCAGCCACACGUGGAACUGACGACGACGGUCCAGACUCGUACGGGAGCAGCAGGU